AGCGCCUCUAAUUUUUGAUGUAGAAAAAAUGGCUUCUUCAUGUUUUUUGUUUGAAUAAAUUUUGACUUAGCUCGAUGUUUCCUACAGUACGAUAGACUCUACGUAGAGAACGAGAUUUUCCUUUAUAAUGAGGUUGAAGGUAAAGUGGAGAGAAUGUUGAUAGGGAAAGGAAAUGUGGAAAGAGGAGAUGGGAAAGAGUACACCCCUACACCAAGAGAUCGAGUGAGUAGCCGGAACAUAAGUCGAUCAGAGGACAUAGAUGUUGAACUCAGAAAAGACGGAAAAAAG